CCAAUAGCGUAUAUUAAAGUUGUUGUGGUUAAAAAGCUCGUAGUUGAACCUUGGGCCUGGCUGGCCGGUCCGCCUCACCGCGUGUACUGGUCCGGCCGGGCCUUUCCCUCUGUGGAACCUCAUGCCCUUCACUGGGUGUGACGGGGAAGCAGGACUUUUACUGUGAAAAAAUUAGAGUGCUCCAAGCAGGCCUAUGCUCGAAUACAUUAGCAUGGAAUAAUAAAAUAGGACGUGCGGUUCUAUUUUGUUGGUUUCUAGGACCGCCGUAAUGAUUAAUAGGGACAGUCAGGUGCAUCAGUAUUCAAUUGUCAGAGGUGAAAUUCUUGGAUUUAUUGAAGACUAACUACUGCGAAAGCAUUUGCCAAGGAUGUUUUCAUUAAUCAAGAACGAAAGUUAGGGGAUCGAAGACGAUCAGAUACCGUCGUAGUCUUAACCAUAAACUAUGCCGACUAGGAAUCAGACGAUGUUAAUUUUUUAAUGACUCGUUUGGCACCUUACG
rnacentral:misc_RNA from 1 species